CCGUGCUAGAUGGGGAGUUAGCGGUGCCCUGCACCCGCAAUCCGCUCUAGCGGGAUCGAAUCCCCGUCCGAGGUCUACAAGCCGUCUAUCCGGUCGGUACCGGGAGGGCGUCGAAAGCCGGAUUCCGCGCAACGCGAGGCUUCCGAACCCCGUCAGGACCGGAAGGUAGCAGCGGUAAGAGGCUGACGCGUGUGCCGCGGAGGUCUCUGGCUGGAGCCCGGCGGUCCCGGGCGGACGGCGGCGCGGGAUCGAAGACGGGUGCACGG
rnacentral:SRP_RNA from 1 species